UUAUGACCAUUUAUUCAAUAAUACAUUUUAUCUGGAUGAUUAUGUUAUUUUAGAGCAGAUAUAUAUUAAUAUGAAUAAAUGUUAUUAUUCCGAUCUCCUCCCAGUUUAUCACACUCAUUUAGUGUUUAUGCAAAUCAUCUGUUCCUGUCAAAAUUUGACUUUCAUGAUCAGAACAGCUUGUCGUCCUUCUCAUCUGCCAAAGAAACCCUCAGACAGCCUGAGGCGAAACCAGAAAAAUCAAUCUUGUUGCUUUGAAAUCAUUUUUCAUUUUAAUCAUCAAUACACAAAAUAUCUCAAUAAUUUGACACAAAAUAACAUUUAGAAAUAGAACCUGCACCUCUUCAGAAAAUGAUUUAUUAGAUCCAAUGGGAUCAAAUAAAAGAAGUUGUCUUCUUCUCGACUAACCACAUGUGGCUCUAGUGAUGCCAGCCUGCAGUUGCCAUGGAAACCUAACAAUGAGUCUUCAAAAAAGAUUGAGUUUUUACUGUUUUAGACACCAAACGGAAAGGAUUUUCGCUCUUUUAGGACAUGAGCUUCAGUAAAUCAUCAAGGUGGAUUCAUGUUUCUCCUUUAUGAUCGCUGGAUCUUAACAGAGCGUAAACGGCUAACCCGAUUUCACGAGCAAAUCAGGUUGUAUCCCAGAUUCACAGCAUCUCCUGCUGUCGGCUGCAACCAAACUCAGACCGUCCUCCGAGAGCAAAUGCUCCAACUAACAGAAUAUCUGGGGCAAACCGGCCUCUCGUCUCUCCUUUUGAAGGGACACACAAUACUGGAUGAUGACACCUGGUCGCUGGAAAUAGCUUCAAUUCAAUACUGAGGAGCCUGUUUCUAUGCGGACGCCUCAUUAGCACACUGUUACCACGACUCGCAGCCCCUCACACCUCCUCCAAGGCCUCGCUCUGCCUACACUCCACCAGCAGGCACUCACAUUUGUAUAAUGAAAGUGGUUCACUUUCAGACGGUGGCCCAAUUAGGUGUGAGACGCUGAGAGCUGGAGAGGAAGUGCUGCUCGGAUCUGUAACACAGCCUGAAGCUUGUUGGUAAGUGGACAGAAAAUCUCAGAUGCAGCAUCGAACUUUCCAACAAAAGGACAAACUUUUACCAAAGAGGCCAAAGAGUUCU